UAUCACAAUACUUCAGUUGACCAUACACAACUCUAAGUAUAUGCUCUCAAAAGAGUCUCAACACCAACAACUUACAACCUAAAAAAACACUUUAUAUAUGCAUUGAUUACUCAAAGAGAGCCAAUCUCUUUGGUUUACACUUGAAUUACAAAAUAGAGAGAGUUUAAAAACGAGUAGUGAAAAAAAAGGUAAAUAUGUGAGAAAGGCGUUACACAAGGGAAGCAAUGACGUUUGUUGUAUGCGUCAUCAUUUGUUUACGCUCAGUUCUGAGCAUUUAAUUGAAGCUAGUAUCUAGCUGUGUAGAACAAAUGGUGUGAAUCAUUCAGUUUAUGCACGAAUUGUUUGCUUAUAAGUUUCAUGGAACAGCAGGAAAACGAAGCAACUGAAACAGAGCAGCAAGAUCCCGCUUUUGCAAUCUCUCAACUGUAUAAUGUGGAAUCUGAUGUAACAAAAUGGCCUUUGGUUUAUCACCAAAGCUACAAUAUUUCAUUUCUUGGUUUGGAGGCACUUCACCCAUUUGAUUCUGGAAAAUGGGGAAAAGUUUAUCAAUUUCUCAUAGGUAGGUGCAUAAAACACAGAUUUUCAGGUCAUUUUUAAUAUAAAAGGUAUGUAUGAUACAAUUUUAUAAGCUAAAACCAUCUUUGGUGAAGUAAUAACUAACAAGUUAAAAUACAUUUUUAAACAAAACAUAAAGAAGUUAUAAAA